rnacentral:rRNA from 1 species
CCUACGGGGGGCUGCAGUGGGGAAUAUUGGACAAUGGGCGAAAGCCUGAUCCAGCCAUGCCGCGUGUGUGAAGAAGGCCUUCGGGUUGUAAAGCACUUUCAGUGGGGAAGAAAGCCUUGGGGCUAAUACCCUCGAGGAAGGACAUCACCCACAGAAGAAGCACCGGCUAACUCCGUGCCAGCAGCCGCGGUAAUACGGAGGGUGCGAGCGUUAAUCGGAAUUACUGGGCGUAAAGCGCGCGUAGGCGGUCUGAUAAGCCGGUUGUGAAAGUCCCGGGCUCAACCUGGGAACGGCAUCCGGAACUGUCAGGCUAGAGUGCAGGAGAGGAAGGUAGAAUUCCCGGUGUAGCGGUGAAAUGCGUAGAGAUCGGGAGGAAUACCAGUGGCGAAGGCGGCCUUCUGGACUGACACUGACGCUGAGGUGCGAAAGCGUGGGUAGCAAACAGGAUUAGAUACCCAGUAGU